rnacentral:rRNA from 1 species
AGUGAACGCUGGCGGUAGGCCUAACACAUGCAAGUCGAACGGCAGCACAGUAAGAGCUUGCUCUUACGGGUGGCGAGUGGCGGACGGGUGAUGAAUACAUCGGAAUCUACUUUUUCGUGGGGGAUAACGUAGGGAAACUUACGCUAAUACCGCAUACGACCUACGGGUGAAAGCAGGGGAUCUUCGGACCUUGCGCGAUUGAAUGAGCCGAUGUCGGAUUAGCUAGUUGGCGGGGUAAAGGCCCACCAAGGCGACGAUCCGUAGCUGGUCUGAGAGGAUGAUCAGCCACACUGGAACUGAGACACGGUCCAGACUCCUACGGGAGGCAGCAGUGGGGAAUAUUGGACAAUGGGCGCAAGCCUGAUCCAGCCAUACCGCGUGGGUGAAGAAGGCCUUCGGGUUGUAAAGCCCUUUUGUUGGGAAAGAAAAGCAGCAGGUUGAUACCCCGCUGUUCUGACGGUACCCAAAGAAUAAGCACCGGCUAACUUCGUG